rnacentral:tRNA from 1 species
GGGGCCAUAGUUCAAUGGGAGAACACUGCCUUUGCACGGCAGAGAUACGGGUUCGAGUCCCGUUGGCUCCACCA